rnacentral:lncRNA from 1 species
GAUAUUUGACUAAAUUACAAAAAAUUCUCUUAUAAAUUUUUUUUUUCACUUUUUGUUUCUAACUUAUAAAAAUUUAUAUUUUACCCUCUUAACAUUUCAAGCUGUUGCAUUUUGUAAGGAUAUAGUUGACGGUAACAAAUUAGAGGAAUAUAUUUAAAAAUAUUAAAAUUUUUAUAGGAACAACAUAUGAAAGUUAAAUUUUGUAGAGAUAUAUUUAUGAUUCAUUAUAUUUGUAGGAACUUGAAUGAAGUUAACCCUAAUAUUUAAUGCAAUUUAGUUGUUCUUAUUUUUUGGGCCCAAUUUACACUUUUAAAAGUGGAAGUUGGUUGACAACAUGAGCUUCUAGAGACUUCUAGAAACAUCUAGAGAGGAGGGAAAAAAAAAGCUUCUAUUUUUUUUGCUAUUUUUCUUUUCUAACUUAAAUGGGAAGUUGUUAGAGGGAGUUGUAGCUUUGUUGAAAAGCAUCUCAAGUGCUUCCACUGAGAAGUUAUAAUUUAGUCAAAUAAGCUGUGAUGCCCCAAUUUUGCAGAGGGUCAUCCAUUCUAGAACUACUCCCGUCCUAACACGCUUAACUCUCUUAAUCUAUUGGGCCAAGCCGCCACCCAAAAUAUUUAAGCCGGAUUAAGAGUUUAGCCAUAUUAUAUCUUAUAUAUAGAACUAUUUGGGGUCUCACAAUCUCUUCCUCUUUAAGCCAUGACGUACUCUUCAAGCUCAGACUCAUAAGUUCUAUAUAUAAAAUAUAAUAGGGCUAAACUCUUAAUCCGGCUUAAGUAUUUUGGGUGGUGACUUGGAUCAAGAGGUUAAGAAAAUUAAGCGUAUUAGGACAGAAGUAGUUCUAGAAUGGGUGACCCCCUGAAAGUUGGGACGUUACAGUGGGCUUAUGCUGGAAAAUCGGGGGCGUGAUAUAAG